AGGGGCAGCACAUAUAAGCUUGCUUAUAGGGUGGCGACCGGCGCACGGGUGCGUAACGCGUAUACAAUCUACCUUAUGCUGAGGGAUAGCCCAGAGAAAUUUGGAUUAACCCCUCAUGGUAUUAGAGAAUGGCAUCAUUUUUUAAUUAAAGGUUACGGCAUAAGAUGAGUAUGCGUCCCAUUAGCUAGUUGGUAGGGUAACGGCUUACCAAGGCUACGAUGGGUAGGGGUCCUGAGAGGGAGAUCCCCCACACUGGUACUGAGACACGGACCAGACUCC
rnacentral:rRNA from 2 species